rnacentral:rRNA from 1 species
AGCAGCCGCGGUAAUUCCAGCUCCAAUAGCGUAUAUUAAAGUUGUUGCAGUUAAAAGCUCGUAGUUGAAUUUCGGGAUUAGUACGCUGGUCGUGCCUUCGGUACGUACUGGUGUUACUGAUUCCUACCUUCUGACGAACCGUCAUGUCAUUAAUUUGAUGUGGCGGGGAAUCAGGACUGUUACUUUGAAAAAUUGAGUGUUUAAAGCAGGCUCGCGCUUGAAUACAUUAGCAUGGAAUAAUGAAAUAGGACGUUCGAUCCUAUUUUGUUGGUUUCUAGGAUUGACGUAAUGAUUAAUAGGGAUAGUUGGGGGCAUUAGUAUUCAAUUGUCAGGGGUGAAAUUCUUGGAUUUAUUGGAGACUAACUACUGCGAAAGCAUUUGCCAAGGAU